rnacentral:misc_RNA from 1 species
CCGAGUUUACAACUCCCAAACCCCUGUGAACAUACCAAUUGUUGCCUCGGCGGAUCAGCCCGCCCCCGGUAUAAACGGGACGGCCCCGCCAGAGGACCCCUAAACUCUGUUUUCUAUAUGUAACUUCUGAGUAAAACCAUAAAUAAAUCA